rnacentral:rRNA from 1 species
GACGAACGCUGGCGGCGUGCUUAACACAUGCAAGUCGAGCGGUAAGGCCCUUUCGGGGGUACACGAGCGGCGAACGGGUGAGUAACACGUGGGUGACCUGCCCUCAGCUCUGGGAUAAGCCUGGGAAACUGGGUCUAAUACUGGAUAUGACUCCACGGUGCAUGUCGUGGGGUGGAAAGCCUUGUGCGGCUGAGGAUGGGCCCGCGGCCUAUCAGCUUGUUGGUGGGGUGAUGGCCUACCAAGGCGACGACGGGUAGCCGGCCUGAGAGGGCGACCGGCCACACUGGGACUGAGACACGGCCCAGACUCCUACGGGAGGCAGCAGUGGGGAAUAUUGCACAAUGGGCGAAAGCCUGAUGCAGCGACGCCGCGUGAGGGAUGACGGCCUGG